GACCCCGUAGCUCAGCUGGAUAGAGCACCAGCCUUCUAAGUUGGGGGUCGCGCGUUCGAAUCGCGCCGGGGUCGCCA
rnacentral:tRNA from 1 species